GUUCAUGGUAUGUUCUUGGCGAUUGCUCAUGCUUGCCUCUCUCAUCGAUAGGCGCGAUGAGGGGUGUGAGAAAAGGCAUCUAUCCUUUCCCAUCGUUUCACGUACUUUUGCUUGUGGAAUUGAUGAUAAUCGUUGGUGUGCUUUGAAAUAAAAGUGGCUGAUUUUGAGUUUCCUUGGUGCAGUGCGCACCUCUGCUCAUUCUUGGGCACGUUGCCUUUAUCUUUGGUAUAACUUCGCUCCUCUGCUCGUAUCCAUCGGGUUGGUGGAUCCUGCGGGGGCAGCGUGCGGGUUGUUCUGAGGUUGUAUUACCUGGUUGAUCCUGCCAGUAGUCAUAUGCUUG
rnacentral:misc_RNA from 1 species